rnacentral:rRNA from 1 species
UUUAAUGAGAGUUUGAUCCUGGCUCAGGACGAACGCUGGCGGCGUGCCUAAUACAUGCAAGUAGAACGCUGAAGCUUGGUGCUUGCACCGAGCGGAAGAGUUGCGAACGGGUGAGUAACGCGUAGGUAACCUGCCUGGUAGCGGGGGAUAACUAUUGGAAACGAUAGCUAAUACCGCAUAAAAUUGAUUAUCGCAUGACAAUCAAUUGAAAGGUGCAAAUGCAUCACUACCAGAUGGACCUGCGUUGUAUUAGCUAGUUGGUGGGGUAACGGCUCACCAAGGCGACGAUACAUAGCCGACCUGAGAGGGUGAUCGGCCACACUGGGACUGAGACACGGCCCAGACUCCUACGGGAGGCAGCAGUAGGGAAUCUUCGGCAAUGGACG